AGGAUGAACGCUGGCGGUCUGCUUAACACAUGCAAGUCGAACGGAGUAGCAAUACUUAGUGGCGGACGGGUGAGUAACGCGUGAGAAUCUACCUUCAGGACGGAGACAACAGUUGGAAACGACUGCUAACCCCCGAUGUACCGCAAGGGCAAAUAUUUAUAGCCUGAAGAAGAGCUCGCGUCCGAUUAGCUAGUUGGAGAGGUAAAAGCUCACCAAGGCGACGAUCGGUAGCUGGUCUGAGAGGAUGGUCAGCCACACUGGGACUGAGACACGGCCCAGACUCCUACGGGAGGCAGCAGUUAGGAAAUUUUCGCAAUGGGGGAAACCCUGACGGAGUAACGCCGCGUGGAGGAUGACGGCUUUCGGGUUGUAAACUCCUUUUCUGUUGGGAAGAGUAGAAGACGGUACCGCAGGAAGAAGCCUCGGCUAACUACGCGCCAGCAGCCGC
rnacentral:rRNA from 1 species